UACGUAGGGCGCGAGCGUUAAUCGGAAUUACUGGGCGUAAAGCGUGCGUAGACGGUUAUUUAAGUCGGGUGUGAAAGCCCCGGGCUCAACCUGGGAAUUGCAGUCGAGACUGUUCGGCUAGAGUGUGGGAGAGGGCAGUGGAAUUCCCGGUGUAGCGGUGAAAUGCGUAGAUAUCGGGAGGAACAUCAGUGGCGAAGGCGACUGCCUGGCCCAACACUGACGCUGAGGUGCGAAAGCGUGGGGAGCGAACGGG
rnacentral:rRNA from 1 species